UAGGGAAUCUUCCACAAUGGACGCAAGUCUGAUGGAGCAACGCCGCGUGAGUGAAGAAGGUUUUCGGACCGUAAAGCUCUGUUGUUGGUGAAGAAGGAUAGAGGUAGUAACUGGCCUUUAUUUGACGGUAAUCAACCAGAAAGUCACGGCUAACUACGUGCCAGCAGCCGCGGUAAUCGUAGGUGGCAAGCGUUGUCCGGAUUUAUUGGGCGUAAAGCGAGCGCAGGCGGAAGAAUAAGUCUGAUGUGAAAGCCCUCGGCUUAACCGAGGAAUUGCAUCGGAAACUGUUUUCUUGAGUGCAGAAGAGGAGAGUAGAACUCCAUGUGUAGCGGUGGAAUGCGUAGAUAUAUGGAAGAAUACCAGUGGCGAGGGCGGCUCUCUGGUCUGCAACUGACGCUGAGGCUCGAAAGCAUGGGUAGCGAACAGGAUUAGAUACCCUGGUAGUCCAUGCCGUAAACGAUGAGUGCUAAGUGUUGGGAGGCUUCCGCCUCUCAGUGCUGCAGCUAACGCAUUAAGCACUCCGCCUGGGGGAGUACGACCGCAAGGUUGAAAC
rnacentral:rRNA from 1 species